UACAGAGGUCUCAAGCGUUGUUCGGAUUCAUUGGGCGUAAAGGGUGCGUAGGCGGCUUUGUAAGUCAGGAGUGAAAGUUUGCGGCUCAACCGUAAAAUUGCUUCUGAUACUGCAUGGCUAGAAUUAGGAUGAGGUCAGCGGAAUGUGGCAUGUAGCGGUGAAAUGCAUAGAUAUGCCAUAGAACACCAAUUGCGAAGGCAGCUGACUAGACCUGGAUUGACGCUGAGGCACGAAAGCGUGGGGAGCGAACAGG
rnacentral:rRNA from 1 species